rnacentral:rRNA from 1 species
CGCGGCCUAUCAGCUUGUUGGUGAGGUAACGGCUCACCAAGGCAUCGACGGGUAGCUGUCUGAGAGGAUGAUCAGCCACACUGGGACUGAGACACGGCCCAGACUCCUACGGGAGGCAGCAGUGGGGAAUAUUGCACAAUGGGCGCAAGCCUGAUGCAGCAACGCCGCGUGCGGGAAGAAGGCCCUAGGGUUGUAAACCGCUUUCAGCAGGGAAGAAACUGACGGUACCUGCAGAAGAAGGUGCGGCCAACUACGUGCCAGCAGCCGCGGUGACACGUAGGCACCAAGCGUUGUCCGGAUUUAUUGGGCGUAAAGAGCUCGUAGGCGGUUCAGUAAGUCGGGUGUGAAAACUCUGGGCUCAACCCAGAGACGCCACCCGAUACUGCUGUGACUUGAGUACGGUAGGGGAGCGGGGAAUUCCUGGUGUAGCGGUGAAAUGCGCAGAUAUCAGGAGGAACACCAGUGGCGAAGGCGCCGCUCUGGGCCGUAACUGACGCUGAGGAGCGAAAGCGUGGGUAGCAAACAGGAUUAGAUACCCUGGUAGUCCACGCCGUAAACGUUGGGCACUAGGUGUGGGUCUCAACCAACGAGAUCCGCGCCGCCGCUAACGCAUUAAGUGCCCCGCCUGGGGAGUACGG